rnacentral:rRNA from 1 species
CUGGAGGUAUCAGAAGUGCGAAUGCUGACAUAAGUAACGAUAAAGCGGGUGAAAAGCCCGCUCGCCGGAAGACCAAGGGUUCCUGUCCAACGUUAAUCGGGGCAGGGUGAGUCGACCCCUAAGGCGAGGCCGAAAGGCGUAGUCGAUGGGAAACGGGUUAAUAUUCCCGUACUUGGUGUUACUGCGAAGGGGGGACGGAGAAGGCUAUGUUGGCCGGGCGACGGUUGUCCCGGUUUAAGCGUGUAGGUGUGUGUUCCAGGUAAAUCCGGUUCACUUUAACACUGAGGCGUGAUGACGAGGCACUACGGUGCUGAAGCAACAAAUGCCCUGCUUCCAGGAAAAGCCUCUAAGCAUCAGGUAACAUCAAAUCGUACCCCAAACCGACACAGGUGGUCAGGUAGAGAAUACCAAGGCGCUUGAGAGAACUCGGGUGAAGGAACUAGGCAAAAUGGUGCCGUAACUUCGGGAGAAGGCACGCUGACACGUAGGUGAAGUGAUUUACUCAUGGAGCUGAAGUCAGUCGAAGAUACCAGCUGGCUGCAACUGUUUAUUAAAAACACAGCACUGUGCAAACACGAAAGUGGACGUAUACGGUGUGACGCCUGCCCGGUGC